rnacentral:misc_RNA from 1 species
UCCUGGUUAACCCAGGCAGUCUCGCUAGAGUGCCCACCAUCACGUGUUGGCAACUAACGACAAGGGUUGCGCUCGUUGCGGGACUUAACCCAACACCUCACGGCACGAGCUGACGACAGCCAUGCAGCACCUGUGCACCUGUCUCUUGCGAGAACACCACAUCUCUGUGGCUGUCAGGUGCAUGUCAAGCCCAGGUAAGGUUCUUCGCGUUGCAUCGAAUUAAACCACAUGCUCCACUGCUUGUGCGGGUCCCCGUCAAUUCUUUUGAGUUUUACCCUUGCGAGCGUACUCCCCAGGCGGUAUACUUAUCGCGUUAGCUACGGUACUGUCAGGGUUGAGCCCAACAACACCAAGUAUACAUCGUUUAGGGCAAGGACUAC